CAUAUAUAAAGAUGUAGCGGCAAACAUACUGAAUUGGUUCUUUCUAUCAAAAGCGGUAGGGAACGUCUACUCCCAGCAAGGGACAUGCACAACCACCACCGCCGCCUGUAUCUAGUAUUUCAGAAGAGUCCGACCGAGAUGGGGACAAAGAAUUCGCUAUGCAAGGUGUUCAACCGUUGGGCAAAGAAACCGAAGCGGUUGGUGUGCUAGAAUCUAGCAUGCACUCCUUGAGCAUUGCUGAAGAGGAGCAGCAUGACUCUCUGGAUGAGGAGGAGGCGAAUUAUAUGAGGAAUAGCAUUAUUGACAUGGAUGAUUGCUGGGAGGAUCCUAAUCAGAAGGGCUUGGAAGAAGAUCGGGACAGCUCUGAUGAAGACUAUAGUCCUUUUCUUCAUCUACGUGCCCCAGCUAUGACUGCCAACAUCAACCAACUCCUGGAGAUAAGCAUGGAUGAAGCCGUGCUUGAUGUGGCAACACCCAAUCCUCCAGGUGAGGACAUACAAGAAACUCCAGAACAACAAAACGUUUCAGGACAACUUCAGAUUUGGAGAAUUUCCAAAACCACAUACUCAUGUAUGCAGGA
ensembl:lncRNA